CCAAACUUAAAUCAUCAACCCAAUUAAACCAAACUAAACCCAACCCCAAUUAAACCAACUAAGCCCAACCUACCCUAACCCAAACAAAACAGACCCACACAUAGGCCCAAGAGACUAAACCAACUCAGAAACCCUAAGGUUUCUGAGCCUUCCUAGCGCCGCACCCCCCACGUGCCUCGUCGGCAUGUCCAACGCCUGAGGCUCGA
rnacentral:lncRNA from 1 species